rnacentral:misc_RNA from 1 species
UUAUACUUAACAAAAAAAUCAGACAAUGCCAUGUUCAGUCCCAACUAAUCAAGUCAGAACGAGUUCAGUCAUCUACUCGGGAGCCAUGACAGCCCCAAGUCUAUCAAAAAAACCAAAAAUGAUCCUUCCGCAGGUUCACCUACGGAAA